rnacentral:lncRNA from 1 species
AAAAAAAGGCGAUUCUAUACUGAUAGGGAGUUUGCAGCUGCCACAUUGUUAUGCACUUGUCAACAUGAAUGAAGUAGCGCCAUAUAAAUGAUUAGGAGUAUGUUUUUUUUGUGUUCUUUUAGUUGUAUUCAAAUGUAAUAGUUGUGUCCUUUUAGUUGUAUCUACAUGUUGUAUUCAAAUGGUAUAGUUGUUUCCUUUUAGUUAUAUCUGCAUAUUGUAUCCUUUUAGUUGUAUGUGCAUGACAAUUCUGAUAUUUGUGUUUGUAU